rnacentral:rRNA from 1 species
GUCCCGCAACGAGCGCAACCCCUACCGCCAGUUGCCAGCAGGUGAUGCUGGGGACUCUGGCGGAACUGCCGGCGACAAGCCGGAGGAAGGCGGGGAUGACGUCAAGUCAUCAUGGCCCUUAUGUCCAGGGCUACACACGUGCUACAAUGGGCGGUACAAAGCGAAGCAAGCCCGAGAGGGCAGAGCGAAACGCCGAAAGCCGGCCGUAGUCCGGAUUGAAGUCUGAAACCCGACUUCAUGAAGCUGGAAUCGCUAGUAAUCGCGCAUCAGCAUGGCGCGGUGAAUACGUUCCCGGGCCUUGUACACACCGCCCGUCACACCAUCCGAGUUGGGGGCACCCGAAGCCGGCAGCCUAACCGCAAGGGGGGCGCUGUCGAAGGUGCGCUGGGCGAGGAGGGUGAAGUCGUAACAAGGUAGCCGUACUGGAAAGUGCGGCUGGAUCACCUCCUUUCU